rnacentral:rRNA from 1 species
GAUGAACGCUGGCGGCGUGCCUAAUACAUGCAAGUCGAGCGAACAGACGAGGAGCUUGCUCCUCUGACGUUAGCGGCGGACGGGUGAGUAACACGUGGAUAACCUACCUAUAAGACUGGGAUAACUUCGGGAAACCGGAGCUAAUACCGGAUAAUAUAUUGAACCGCAUGGUUCAAUAGUGAAAGACGGUUUUGCUGUCACUUAUAGAUGGAUCCGCACCGCAUUAGCUAGUUGGUAAGGUAACGGCUUACCAAGGCGACGAUGCGUAGCCGACCUGAGAGGGUGAUCGGCCACACUGGAACUGAGCAACGGUCCAGACUCCUACGGGAGGCAGCAGUAGGGAAUCUUCCGCAAUGGGCGAAAGCCUGACGGAGCAACGCCGCGUGAGUGAUGAAGGUCUUCGGAUCGUAAAACUCUGUUAUUAGGGAAGAACAAAUGUGUAAGUAACUAUGCACGUCUUGACGGUACCUAAUCAGAAAGCCACGGCUAACUACGUG